GAGUUUGAUCGUGGCUCAGGACGAACGCUGGCGGCGUGCUUAACACAUGCAAGUCGAACGAGAAUCUACUGAAAGAGUUUUCGGACAAUGGAAGUAGAGGAAAGUGGCGGACGGGUGAGUAACGCGUGAGGAACCUGCCUUGAAGAGGGGACAACAGUUGGAAACGACUGCUAAUACCGCAUGAUGCAUAAGGGUCGCAUGAUUCUUAUGCCAAAGAUUUAUCGCUUCAAGAUGGCCUCGCGUCUGAUUAGCUAGUUGGCGGGGUAACGGCCCACCAAGGCGACGAUCAGUAGCCGGACUGAGAGGUUGAACGGCCACAUUGGGACUGAGAUACGGCCCAGACUCCUACGGGAGGCAGCAGUGGGGAAUAUUGGGCAAUGGGCGCAAGCCUGACCCAGCAACGCCGCGUGAAGGAAGAAGGCUUUCGGUAUGUAAACUUCUAUCAGCAGGGAAGAAAAUAGACGGUACC
rnacentral:rRNA from 1 species